AGUGAACGCUGGCGGUAGGCCUAACACAUGCAAGUCGAACGGCAGCACAGGAGAGCUUGCUCUCUGGGUGGCGAGUGGCGGACGGGUGAGGAAUACAUCGGAAUCUACUCUGUCGUGGGGGAUAACGUAGGGAAACUUACGCUAAUACCGCAUACGACCUACGGGUGAAAGCAGGGGACCUUCGGGCCUUGCGCGAUUGAAUGAGCCGAUGUCGGAUUAGCUAGUUGGCGGGGUAAAGGCCCACCAAGGCGACGAUCCGUAGCUGGUCUGAGGGGAUGAUCAGCCACACUGGAACUGAGACACGGUCCAGACUCCUACGGGAGGCAGCAGUGGGGAAUAUUGGACAAUGGGCGCAAGCCUGAUCCAACCAUACCGCGUGGGUGAAGAAGGCCUUCGGGUUGUAAAGCCCUUUUGUUGGGAAAGAAAUCCGGCUGGCUAAUACCCGGUUGGGAUGACGGUACCCAAAGAAUAAGCACCGGCUAACUUCGUGCCAGCCGCCGCCGUAA
rnacentral:rRNA from 1 species